CCUCAGCAGAGGGUUCAGCCCGUCACCAGGGGAUUGAGUUCCAAGCUGAGGGCUUUGUAGUUGCUGCUGCUCUUGCUGCUGUUGUCUAAAGGGAUUAUAAGCCUUUGUAAAGCUUGUGUUAAUACCCUGGAGGGGAAAAAUGAGUUUCCAAAUAACCUUUGUUGUGCAUUUCCUGUCUAAGGUACCCCAGGAAAGGAAAAAUCAGCAAGUGUUUUGGCAUCACGAGUAGGUCAUUUAAAGUUCACAAACAAGGAGGAUUGGUUUUGAGCCACGUCUCCACGUUUCCCUCCAGACGCUGUAAAGGUGCAGAGCUGUUUGGUAUUCAGGGAGUGCUGGAGGCUGAGGGUCAUUCAAUAUUCCAGUGUGAGGAGUGGGAUGCUCAAUAUUCCAGGCAGGAACAAUUUUUGCCUUCUCAGAAUAAAAAUCAGAUUGAGCACAGAGGAAAAAUGAAUCUGAGGUUCUGGACAGGAGAAAACGUUUCCAACACAGUCCUUUUCAUGAGGCCAUCUGCUCCUUCUUUGCCAGGCAACACUCAAAAUGCUCCUUUCAGAGAAGAGGGAGAACAUUCCUACUGACAGUGCUGCAUUAGAAUUGCACAGACCCAGGUGGCAUCCAAAUGAGCUCUGCUGGAGUGUUCCAGUCUCCUCUUGUCCCCACAGAACAUUCAAGUUGUCGUUGAACUUGGGUUCACAUUGUGGGGGGAGGAUGGACUCUGUUUCUUCUGAUUAAAUUAUGCAGGUGACAACUGCCACUCAGCCCCCAGGACAAAACUGAGCUGGUCUGAGGUAACCCUUCAUGAAACAUAAAUCAAAUGUUGCCCACAGGCUGCCCCUGGAUCCCUGGCAGUGCCCAAGGCCAGGUUGGAUGGAGCUUGGAGCAGCCUGGGACAGUGGAAGGUGUCCCUGCCCAUGGCAAGAGGGGGGAAGAGAUGAGCUUUAAGAUCUCUUCAAACUCAAACCAUUCUAGGAUUUUAUGAUUCUUUGAUAAAACGCCCACUGGUCCUUAGCUUCUCUUUUCUUUGUUUGCUUUUCAUGUUGAAGGCUAUCAAAUAUACAGUCCUCCCUUUGGAGAAGGUCACAGAAUCCCAGAAUGGUUUGGGCUGGAAGGGACCCUAAGUCCAAUCUCAUUCCAAAGCCCUGCCAUGGGCAGAGACACCACAAGGCAAUCACCCUCCCCCACAGAAGUGUUGAUGGUGGUGACCUCGCCAUCCCAAUGCCCUGGUGAUCUUCCCAUUCCUCCACCUCUACUACAGGCCUUGGUAUCUUCUGGAAACUGAGAACACUUUGAGGGCAGAUAAUGCAUUUGUACUGGUAUGUAAAACACCAGAGAUAUAUAUGCUGCUCUAUAAAUAAUAAAGUACUCUUGGAUUUACUUGGAGAUGCAGGAGUACAGAAAGAGGGGAGUGUAAUAAGUCAGGGAAACAAAAAACACCAAAAAACCACCCCAAAACAACAAUAGCAACAACAAAAUCCCAAAGGUCAAUGAAAACUCAUACUAAUCCUUCUUAAGUAUGACAGAUAAUGAUGAAGCCAGAGGAAUUCUGAGAUCUCUGAGAUUCAAAAAGGGAAGAAAAAAAAAAAGACUUUUUGAAGCUUCAUUGCUCAUUUUCUAUGCCGUAUGCAAUCUUAUUUCCAAAGAUUGUUCUUUUUUCCCUAAGCUUGGUUUGUGCAUGGAAUUUCCCUGGGAUUUCCAAAGCAACUUUUGGGGCUGGGAGCACC